AUGGGCUUAGGAGAGGUAUAGAGCUGGACCAAGUAUAGAGUCAUCUAGUUCACUGUGUUUAAGGAGUUUGGAAAUCUGAGUUUAAGUUUUGUACAGUUGUCGACUCAGCUUUAGUUUAGAGUUAGAAUUGGCAAUCUCUUCUCGCUCGACGUUUUGUGCUUGACUUUUGUUAUUUGGCUUUAUAGAUUAGCAUAUCAGUUAUGAUGUAUAGUAGUACUAGGUAGUAAUACCGUAUUUGGAGUGUUAUUCAAACAUUCAGCUUUUCUGAAACUUUGAUUACAAGGGUGGUAUUGAAAAGCAUAACUAUGGAGAAUUUGUUUUCAGACACUGUACUGGCUCCAUGGAUAGGAUCUCAUGACUGUACAAAGGAAUUCUCUUAGGGGAAUUUGAGGCCUAAAAACUAGUCUGGUUUCUGUAUACUUGGCUUCAAAAAUGCUCUUUUCUUUUCAAUUUGUGUGCUGAGAUUUUUUGUUUGGAUUGAGUGAUGAUGAAAGCAGGGAGGGGGUGGUUGUAUUAUUGAAUUGUGGUUCUCGUGAAACAAAAGUGCUAGCUUGUGUCCCUCUAUAACCACUUCAAUUUUGAUUUCAGCAUGGUUGUUGCACCAGUUAACUAGCUAGUUUUCUGAGAGGAUUGGGAAUAAUUUGAAUCAUCAGUUCAAGGUCAGUAAAUCUGAAAAGUAGUUGUUCUAAACUCCAAACUAUGUUUUUGUGAAUCGGAUUCCUCAUAUCUAUAGCAUUUUGCAUUGUCUUAUGCUUGGUAGGCCUUCCCUUUUAUUAUGAUGGAAAAGAUUGAGAUUUUUUCAUGUAGGCUUCUUGUUAGUAACUUAGUAUGGUUUCGAGACCAGACUAAUUUUACUGACCCUGCAUGAUUAUGGCUUUUGUUAUUACUUAACUUCUAAUUUCUGUUUUCUUUCUUUAGGGUGCUAGUUUGAUUGCUCAGUUUAGAUUUAGUGAAUUUCAUAAGAAGAGGGUCUGUCCACUUCUUAAUCUUCACUGCAUAUUAUUGUAGACACAACAAGAUUUCUUUUUUGUCGUGUACACAUUUUCAUCUUGUUGCGCAAGCUGCUUCUUGUUAUUAUGAACCCUAUCGUAGGUCAAGAAAGGGAUUUUACUGGAUAGUGUAGGUCCUGGACAGUUAAAUCUCCAAUUUUCAUCUUUCUUCUGGCUAUGCUAGUUGCAUUCCAUGAUUUAGUGUUAUAUGCGUACUGCAGUUUAAUUAAACCAAAUUAUCAAAGAGGUGGUAGGUUCUAUUGAUUUAUGUUUCUCCAUUGCUCUUCGAAGAAGCCGGUAGUUCAGGGCUUCUGUAGUCACUUAUGAGUACCAAUGUAUUCUGGACAUGAUGACUUAACCUUUACAUCUUGGUAGUAAUAGUGUACCAGUCUUGAUAAAACAAAGAGGGAUCCCAAAUUAGACAAUGAAGAAGAAAUGAGUAUGUGUGGGCAUGCAAUGGAUGACCUACUUGAGACUGAAUUGUUUGAUACUGAUUAACUUAAAUGCUUGAUGUAAAACUGAUAUGCCUGAUCAAUCCUAUGUUUUCGAUCUAUUCAAAUCCCAGUGAAACUAAUUGAGAAGUCAUAUUAUGUAUUUUGAUUUUGUAAAAUUAUAUCAUAUGUGUUUUGUUUUCUUGUUCAUCCUUUAGGUAACCUGCUUUGGAGAUUCGAGUACAGUUUUGUAUCAUAUCAGU
rnacentral:lncRNA from 1 species